UGGGGAAUAUUGGACAAUGGGCGCAAGCCUGAUCCAGCCAUGCCGCGUGAGUGAUGAAGGCCUUAGGGUUGUAAAGCUCUUUCGCGCGCGACGAUAAUGACGGUAGCGCGAGAAGAAGCCCCGGCUAACUUCGUGCCAGCAGCCGCGGUAAUACGAAGGGGGCUAGCGUUGUUCGGAAUCACUGGGCGUAAAGCGCAUGCAGGCGGAUCGUUAAGUCGGGGGUGAAAUCCCGAGGCUCAACCUCGGAACUGCCUUCGAUACUGGCGAUCUUGAGUCCGGGAGAGGUGAGUGGAACUGCGAGUGUAGAGGUGAAAUUCGUAGAUAUUCGCAAGAACACCCGUGGCGAAGGCGGCUCACUGGCCCGGUACUGACGCUCAGGUGCGAAAGCGUGGGGAGCAAACA
rnacentral:rRNA from 1 species